rnacentral:rRNA from 1 species
UAACACAUGCAAGUCGAGCGAUGAGGCUCCCUUCGGGGGGUACAUCAGCGGCGAACGGGUGAGUAACACGUGGGUGACCCUCCCCAGAGACGGAAAUAACUCUUGGACACAGGGGCUAAUACCCGAUGUGCUCAGCAGUUCACUCUGUUGAGUAACGCUAUGGCGCUUUGGGAUGGGCCCGCGGCCCAUCAGCUAGUUGGUAGGGUAAAGGCCUACCAAGGCUAAGACGGGUAGGGGGCGUGAGAGCGCGAUCCCCCACACUGGCACUGAGACACGGGCCAGACUCCUACGGGAGGCAGCAGUGAGGAAUAUUGCGCAAUGGACGAAAGUCUGACGCAGCGACGCCGCGUGGGCGAUGAAGGCCUUCGGGUCGUAAAGCCCUUUUCUGGGGGAAGAGAAAGGACGGUACCCCAGGAAUAAGCCCCGGCUAACUACGUGCCAGCAGCCGCGGUACAACGUAGGGGAGCAAGCGUUAUCCGGAUUUACUGGGCGUAAAGAGCGUUGAGGCGGUUCAGUAAGUUGGGCGUGAACAGCCCUGGGCUUAACUCAGGGGAAGCCGUUCAAUACUGCGAAACUUGAGGGCAGCAGAGGGAGGUGGAAUUCCCGGAGUAGCGGUGAAAUGCGUAGAUAUCGGGAGGAACACCAGUGGCGAAGGCGGACUCCUGGGCUGCUCCUGACGCUGAAGGCGAAAGCUAGGGGAGCUAACGGGAUUAGUAACCCCGUUAGUCCUAGCCGUUAACGAUGGAUGCUAAUCUUUGGUGGCUGUAGAUUUCCUCCGUGCCGCAGUUAACGCGUUAAGGCAUCCCGCCUGUGGAGUACGCCUGCAAGGCUUAAACUCAAUCGUAUUGACGGGGGCCCGCACAAUCAUCUGAGCGUCUGGUUUAAUUCGAUGCUACACGUAGUUCCUUACCUGGGCUUGACAUACAGUUAGUAGUGAAGUGAAAGCGGAUCGAUCCUUCGGUGAGCCUGUACAGUUUCUGCAUGGCUGUCGUCAGCUCGUUCCGUGAGUUGUCGGGUUAAGUCCCGUAACGAGCGCAACCCUUGCUCUUAGUUAUACGUGUCU